GGCUGCAAACGUUUCUUUUGAGGUUGCUUUUCAUCCCUGUCCACAAGGUGUCAAGCGUGAGUCCACUCUGGCGUGUCUGUGAUACCUGAAAAGAUGGACUGAAAACACGGAGGCCUGUUUUCAUUUAAAUUCACUUAAAGUGAAUUAAGGUGAAGGUAUGUGAAGUGGCUGGUAACGUUUAGUGACAACCAUCUCCUGGAGUGUUAUCUGGGAAGCUGUGGUGCAGAGGGGGAACGUGCACGGUUACUAUCGAAUUCAAAAGUUUACGACCCCUUAACUAUUCUUAUGGACUGGAUCUCAGAC
rnacentral:lncRNA from 1 species